ACCGGUAAAGUUCAAUCUAGCCGUCGUAUGCCUGAAUGUUAAAAUUUGGGACACGUUGGCAGAUAUGGCAAGCCUGUAACGCUGCACAAAUUGAAAAGAAAUAAUGCCACGAAAACCGCAUGGAUUAGAGCUAUAAGCAGGCAAGAUAGGAAGCCAACCGGAUACACCAGGGUAUGGUAUGAUCAUUUGUGGGUGGAAUUGGUUAAAACUCCAUGAACAGAAACAAGGUGCUAACAAAAUACCUUGGGCAGAAGAUCCUUUCUAAGUAAAGAUAUGUAAAUCUCUAAUAAAGCUAUGCCAAGUCACAUGCUGAUGACACCAGUGUCGGUAAUGGCAGCUCUGGAAGUGUCGGUGAACAGGCAUCUCCUGACAAGCGUGAAAUCUCCACAUAUAUCCAAAAGAUCAGAAAUAACAAUGGAAGACAUUAAUGCCUUAUACGAUAAAAUCAUGUUUUAUACUGGCCUGUCAAUUUUCGUUAUUUUUAAUUCGUUGUUUUUAGAUUUUAAGAAUUUGGUGCCGACAAGUUAUAUACUAAAAAACUGAACAUUGUUGAGAUUAAGACAGUGCGUAAAAGAAAGUUAAGACCUGUUGAUGAGUUUCAAUGACAUAGUAAACAAAUUAUUUAAUGCAACAAAAUGAAAAUAAGUCUUCAGUGCUAGUACUGUAUUGAUAAAUAAAACAUUUUUUUAAUUU